UUGAAUAAACUUGGUCAAGCUGUUGCUGGUCCUUCGGGACAUGUGCACGCUUGCCACCAAUUUUAACCACCUGUGCACUUUUUGUAGACUGGAAAACGUUUUUCGAGGCAACUCGGAUUUGAGAACUGCUGGCGCAAGUCGGCUUUUCUUGUGUUUCUCAGUCUAUGUUUUCAUAUACACCUAAUGUAUGUAUCAGAAUGUAUUGCUAGGCCUUAGUGCCUUUAAAACAAAUA
rnacentral:misc_RNA from 1 species